UAUUAGUCAAUGGCCUAACGGCUGAACUGGCAACUUGGAGAAGUGGCAAGUCUUCCAGUAUGGGGAGCAAAACAGCUAUGGGUCAAGUCCGAUAUCUUUAGGAGAAGUCUUAUUGUGAGGGCGAGUUAUAUAACACCGUAGGACUGGCCGUCCCAUAUGAAAAGAUUAUAUUAGAAUUGAAUGAAGCUUUGUUUAUAUAUUGAUAAUGACAGUAUAUAUAUCGUGUCUUGACUAAUUGCGUGCCAGCAGUCGCGGUAAUACGUAAGAGACUAGUGUUAUUCAUCUUAAUUAGGUUUAAAGGGUACCCAGACGGUCAAUAUAGCUUAUAAAAUGUUAGUACUUGACUAGAGUUUUAUGUAAGAGGGCAGUACUUGAGGAGGAGAGAUGAAAUUUCGUGAUACCAAAGGGACUCUGUAAAGGCGAAGGCAGCCCUCUAUGUAAAAACUGACGUUGAAGGACGAAGGCACAGAGAACAAACAGGAUUAGAUACCCAAGUAGUCUUUGCAGUAAAUGAUGAAUGCCAUAGGUUAGAUUGGUCAAUUAUAGUCUAGGGUUAGUCUAGCAAACUAAUACCUAUACUAUUAUACCUAAUAUCUGGUCUAUAAAUGAAAGUGUAAGCAUUUCACCUCAAGAGUAAUGUGGCAACGCAGGAACUGAAAUCACUAG
rnacentral:rRNA from 1 species